GAUGAACGCUAGCGGCAGGCUUAACACAUGCAAGUCGAGGGGUAACAGGAGUGCUUGCACUCGCUGACGACCGGCGCACGGGUGCGUAACGCGUAUAGAACCUACCUUUUACAGAGGGAUAGCCUUUAGAAAUGAAGAUUAAUACCUCAUAGUAUUGUCAAUUGGCAUCGAUUGACACUUAAAGAUUUAUCGGUAAGAGAUGGCUAUGCGUCCUAUUAGCUAGAUGGUAAGGUAACGGCUUACCAUGGCAACGAUAGGUAGGGGCCCUGAGAGGGGGAUCCCCCACACUGGUACUGAGACACGGACCAGACUCCUACGGGAGGCAGCAGUGAGGAAUAUUGGGCAAUGGAGGGAACUCUGACCCAGCCAUGCCGCGUGCAGGAAGACUGCCCUAUGGGUUGUAAACUGCUUUUAUACAGGAAGAAACACACCUACGCGUAGGUGCUUGACGGUACUGUACGAAUAAGCACCGGCUAACUCCGUGCCAGCCGCCGCCGUAACAC
rnacentral:rRNA from 1 species